rnacentral:rRNA from 1 species
UUCCUUUUUAUCAAAAGAUAAAAAGGGAAAGAUUUAUUGGUAAGAGAUUAGCCUGUAUUGUAUCAGUUAGUUGGUGGGGUAAUGGCCUACCAAGACGAUGACGCAUAACUGGUUUGAGAGGAUGAUCAGUCACACUGGAACUGAGACACGGUCCAGACUCCUACGGGAGGCAGCAGUGGGGAAUAUUGCACAAUGGACGAAAGUCUGAUGCAGCAACGCCGCGUGGAGGAUGACACAUUUCGGUGCGUAAACUCCUUUUAUAUAAGAAGAUAAUGACGGUAUUAUAUGAAUAAGCACCGGCUAACUCCGUGCCAGCAGCCGCGGUAAUACGGAGGGUGCAAGCGUUACUCGGAAUCACUGGGCGUAAAGAGCGUGUAGGCGGAUUGAUAAGUUUGAAGUGAAAUCCUAUAGCUUAACUAUAGAACUGCUUUGAAAACUGUUAAUCUAGAAUGUGGGAGAGGUAGAUGGAAUUUCUGGUGUAGGGGUAAAAUCCGUAGAGAUCAGAAGGAAUACCGAUUGCGAAGGCGAUCUACUGGAACAAUAUUGACGCUGAGACGCGAAAGCGUGGGGAGCAAACAGGAUUAGAUACCCUGGUAGUCCACGCCCUAAACGAUGUACACUAGUUGUUGUGAGGCUCGACCUUGCAGUAAUGCAGUUAACACAUUAAGUGUACCGCCUGGGGAGUACGGUCGCAAGAUUAAAACUCAAAGGAAUAGACGGGGACCCGCACAAGCGGUGGAGCAUGUGGUUUAAUUCGACGAUACACGAAGAACCUUACCUGGACUUGACAUAGUAAGAAUGAUUUAGAGAUAGAUUAGUGUCUGCUUGCAGAAACUUGCAUACAGGUGCUGCACGGCUGUCGUCAGCUCGUGUCGUGAGAUGUUGGGUUAAGUCCCGCAACGAGCGCAACCCUCGUCCUUAGUUGCUAACAGUUCGGCUGAGAACUCUAAGGAGACUGCCUACGCAAGUAGGAGGAAGGUGAGGAUGACGUCAAGUCAUCAUGGCCCUUACGUCCAGGGCUACACACGUGCUACAAUGGGGUAUACAAAGAGCAGCAAUACGGUGACGUGGAGCAAAUCUCAAAAAUGCCUCCCAGUUCGGAUUGUAGUCUGCAACUCGACUACAUGAAGUUGGAAUCGCUAGUAA